UGAUAUGAUGAUAACCUUUACAACAACAACAUGAAUUUCUUCAACCGACCAACAUAGGAGGAACCAAACUUUGACAGCUUUUUAACCCUGAUU
rnacentral:snoRNA from 1 species